rnacentral:rRNA from 1 species
AAAAUAUUAGCCUGUGGUAUUAGGUUGGUUUUUCCUUCUAUUUUAUACAUGGAAUAAGAAGAGAAGAGAAAGGAUUGCUCUUUUUGAAGGUUGGGUUCUUAAUGGAUUAAUUGAAUUGGGAGUAAGUUAUUUUUUAUAAAAAAAAGAUAAAAUAAUAAUAUUUCGACUCCAGUAGAUAAUAUUGAAUAGUAUUGAAAGAUAGUUUAAGAGAUUGGGAUUAAAAGGGAAGAAAUAAAGUGCCAGCACUUGCGGUCAGACUUUGUCCUUGAGCUAAUUAGUUUGUAAGAGAGUAAUGUUUAAAAUAAAAUUAAAAGUCUGCUUUUUCUGGUCAAAUACAAACAAAAAGUUUGAUCUAAUUUUAAGUAGUUUUAAGACUAAAGCUCAGAAGGCUGUAAUAGAGACGGGGAUUUGAGACCCUCUUAUUGAAGCUGUCUUAAAUCUUACGGGUACUACGAACAAACGCGUUUAAAACUCGAACAGGUUGGCGGUAUUUUAUAACCAUUAAGGGGAACUUGGCGGUUAAACCGAUGAUCCUCGUAAUACUUUACCCUAAGUUUUCUUUGCAUACCGCCGUCAUUAGGUGUACCUAAAGGGGAAAGAUUGCAGCGAGAUAUCAUUUAUUUAAUAUGUGAAGAAGUUCAGGUAGACGUGUAGGGUUUCUUAGGGGCUUAGCUGAGUUACAAAUGUAAAGCAAUUAUGGAUCAUAAAAUGAAAUAUUUAUGUGAAAGCGUACUUAUUAGUAAAUUUUAAAGAGAGAAAUUUUGAAUUGAGUAAAUAAAAUGCGUACAAAUCGCCCGGCGCCCUCGAAUAUUUAAAUUGAGGUAAGUCGUAACAUAGUAAUGCUAGUAAAAACUGGUGUUGUGAAGAG